UAUUAUUUUUUGUUAAAUUUUAAACUUGAGUAGUAAUAGUUAUAUUCUAAAAACUCAAAGAAUUUGGCGGUAUUUUAGUCCGUUCAGAGGAAUCUGUCCUAUAAUUGAUAAUACACGUUUAAUUUUACUUAAUUUAUUAAUUUAUAUACCGCCGUCUUAAGAAUAUCUUUAUGAGAGUUAAAAAUUUCUUUAAAUAUUAUAAUAUUAUAAGUCAGGUCAAGGUGUAGUUUAUAAUUAAGUUGAGAUGGAUUACAAUGGAGGUAUUUAUAUGAAUAUAAAAUUUAAAGUUUUAUUGAAGGUGGAUUUGAUUGUAAAUUUGAUUUAAUUAUGAUUUUGAUUUUGGCUCUAAAAUAUGUACAUAUCGCCCGUCGCUCUCAUAAUAUUGAG
rnacentral:rRNA from 1 species